GACGUAGGGGGCGAGCGUUGUCCGGAUUUAUUGGGCGUAAAGCGUGCGUAGGCGGCUGCGCAAGUCGGGUGUGAAACCCCGGGGCUCAACCCCGGAACUGCAUCCGAUACUGCGUGGCUAGAGGUAGGUAGGGGAGAUCGGAAUUCCUGGUGUAGCGGUGAAAUGCGCAGAUAUCAGGAGGAACACCGGUGGCGAAGGCGGGUCACUGGGCCGGUACUGACGCUGAGGAGCGAAAGCGUGGGGAGAAAACAGG
rnacentral:rRNA from 1 species